rnacentral:rRNA from 1 species
AUUGAACGCUGGCGGCAGGCCUAACACAUGCAAGUCGUACGAGUGGCGGACGGGUGAGUAAUGUCUGGGAAACUGCCCGAUGGGGGGGGAUAACUACUGGAAACGGUAGCUAAUACCGCAUACCAUCGGAUGUGCCCAGAUGGGAUUAGCUAGUGGGUGGGGUAACGGCUCACCGAGGCGCCGAUCCCUAGCUGGUCUAGGAGGAUGACCAGACACACGGGAACUAAGACACGGCCCAGACUCCUACGGGAGGCAGCAGUGGGGAAUAUUGCACAAUGGGCGCAAGCCUGAUGCAUCCAUGCCGCGUGUAUGAAGAAGGCCUGCGGGUUGUAAAGUACUUUCAGCGAGGAGGCGUUACUCGCAGAAGAAGCACCGGCUAACUCCGUGCCAGCAGCCGCGGUAAUAC